GAUGAAGAACGUAGUGAAAUGCGAUAAGUAGUGUGAAUUGCAGAAUUCAGUGAAUCAUCGAAUCUUUGAACGCACAUUGCGCCCUAUAGUAUUCUGUAGGGCAUGCCUGUUCGAGCGUUAUUGAGACCUCAAGCUCUGCUUGGAAAUGGGCGCUUGUCUUGCCUUGCAGACUCGCCUUAAAACCAUUGGCAGCUGAUUUACAAUGUUUGGUGCACAGUACAUGAGCCCAAGUGUUGCAAUGAGUGGCCCAAAAGUAUACAAUAGAAGCUUAACCUCGGAUCAGGUAGGGAUACCCGCUGAACUUAAGCAUAUCAAUAAGCGGAGGA
rnacentral:misc_RNA from 1 species